rnacentral:rRNA from 1 species
CCGAAUGUUGUAGAGUUUCCGCAUGGGAAUCCUACUAAAGAUGGCCUCUACUUGUAAGCUAUCGCUUUACGAUGGGUCUGCGUCUGAUUAGCUAGUUGGUGGGGUAACGGCCUACCAAGGCGACGAUCAGUAGCCGGUCUGAGAGGAUGAACGGCCACAUUGGAACUGAGACACGGUCCAGACUCCUACGGGAGGCAGCAGUGGGGAAUCUUCCGCAAUGGGCGCAAGCCUGACGGAGCAACGCCGCGUGAGUGAAGAAGGGUUUCGACUCGUAAAGCUCUGUUGUCGGGGACGAAUGUGGAGAUGGUGAAUAACCAUUUCCAAUGACGGUACCUGACGAGGAAGCCACGGCUAACUACGUGCCAGCAGCCGCGGUAAUACGUAGGUGGCGAGCGUUGUCCGGAAUUAUUGGGCGUAAAGGGAGCGCAGGCGGGAAGGUAAGUCUAUCUUAAAAGUGCGGGGCUCAACCCCGUGAGGGGAUGGAAACUAUCUUUCUUGAGUGCAGGAGAGGAAAGCGGAAUUCCUAGUGUAGCGGUGAAAUGUCGUAGAUAUUAGGAGGAACACCAGUGGCGAAGGCGGCUUUCUGGACUGUAACUGACGCUGAGGCUCGAAAGCGUGGGGAGCGAACAGGAUUAGAUACCCUGGUAGUCCACGCCGUAAACGAUGAAUGCUAGGUGUAGGAGGUAUCGACCCCUCCUGUGCCGGAGUUAACGCAAUAAGCAUUCCGCCUGGGGAGUAC